CACGUAGGGCGCGAGCGUUGUCCGGAAUUAUUGGGCGUAAAGAGCUCGUAGGUGGCUUGUCACGUCUGCUGUGAAAACUCGGGGCUCAACCCCGAGCCUGCAGUGGAUACGGGCUAGCUAGAGUGCGGUAGGGGAGACUGGAAUUCCUGGUGUAGCGGUGAAAUGCGCAGAUAUCAGGAGGAACACCGGUGGCGAAGGCGGGUCUCUGGACCGAUACUGACACUGAGGAGCGAAAGCGUGGGGAGCGAACAGG
rnacentral:rRNA from 1 species